rnacentral:rRNA from 1 species
ACGGCCGCGGAUCUUGACCGUGCUAAGGUAGCGAAAUCACUUGUCUUUUAAAUAAAGACCUGUAUGAAUGGUGAAACGAGGGCUUAACUGUCUCCUUUUUUAGGUCAGUGAAAUUGAUCUGCCCGUGCAGAAGCGGACAUAAAAAUACAAGACGAGAAGACCCUUUGGAGCUUUAGACAUGUGAUCAGCUGUGUCAAAAAUUUUAGCCCAUAAAAAUUAAACUAAACAGUAGUGACCAUCAGUCUUCGGUUGGGGCGACCACGGGGGAAAGCCAAGCCCCCAUGUAGAAUGGGAUACAUCCUAAAACCAAGAAACACAUUUCUAAGUCACAGAACUUCUGACUUAAAGAUCCGGCACACGCCGAUUAGCGAACCAAGUUACCCCAGGGAUAACAGCGCAAUCACCUCCAAGAGCCCGUAUCAACAAGGGGGUUUACGACCUCGAUGUUGGAUCAGGACAUCCUAAUGGUG